rnacentral:rRNA from 1 species
AUGGGAACGCGAAGAACCUUACCUAGACUUGACAUCUCCUGAAUUACUCUGUAAUAGAGGAAGCCCUUCGGGGCAGGAAGACAGGUGGUGCAUGGUUGUCGUCAGCUCGUGUCGUGAGAUGUUGGGUUAAGUCCCGCAACGAGCGCAACCCUUAUUACUAGUUGCUACCAUUAAGUUGAGCACUCUAGUGAGACUGCCCGGGGUUAACCGGGAGGAAGGCGGGGAUGACGUCAAAUCAUCAUGCCCCUUAUGUCUAGGGCAACACACGUGCUACAAUGGUGAGUACAGAUAGAUGCGAUACCGCAAGGUGGAGCCAAACUCUAAAACUCAUCCCAGUUCGGAUUGUAGGCUGCAACUCGCCUACAUGAAGUUGGAGUUGCUAGUAAUCGCGAAUCAGAAUGUCGCGGUGAAUACGUUCCCGGGUCUUGUACACACCG